GCUAAAGAGCUCUGUUUCUGCCUUUUGUUGAAGGUGGAUCCUAUACUGUGAAGGAAGGGACACCAGGCAACACAGAUGAAGAAUGAAGCUGGAAGGUGAGGCUGGUAUGGGCCAGGGGCUCCAUCGGGUCAAAAGUGGCCCUCUCCAGACAUAACAACAAAAUAGGCCAUCAUAUGACUCAUUCUUAAGAUGUCAACACCUGGAACUUCCUUUCCUGAUCUGCAUUUAACCGCAGUAUUGUACAACACAUUAUAUUAUACCAUGGACUGAUCUUAAUGGUGCUGCUGCAGGCUUUUUUUUCUAUAGUUAUCUUCAAAUACUGGAGGUCAGACACUGCUGUAACUAUUCUGCUACCUGGAUGUAGCUGUUCAUAUUUGAAUGCUUUUGCAUGCAAAUCCAUGGUAAUAAGCUGUGCAUAUAUCAAAGAAGUGCAAGAGGUCUAGACUCGUAAACCACUGGCUUCUCCUUUCAUGCUACUGUAAAACAAGACUCUGCUUCUCUCCAUUUAAAGUCAAGAGAAUUAUA